AACGAACGCUGGCGGCGCGCCUAAUACAUGCAAGUCGAGCGAGAAGACGUAGCAAUACGUUUGUAAAGCGGCGAACGGGUGAGGAAUACAUGGGUAACCUACCCUCGAGUGGGGAAUAACUAGCCGAAAGGUUAGCUAAUACCGCGUACGCUCCUUGGACUUCGGUUCAGGGAGGAAAGCGAUACCGUGGGUAUCGCGCUCUUGGAUGGGCUCAUGUCCUAUCAGCUUGUUGGUGAGGUAACGGCUCACCAAGGCUUCGACGGGUAGCUGGUCUGAGAGGACGAUCAGCCACACUGGCACUGCGACACGGGCCAGACUCCUACGGGAGGCAGCAAGUAAGGAAUAUUGCGCAAUGGGCGAAAGCCUGACGCAGCGACGCCGC
rnacentral:rRNA from 1 species